rnacentral:rRNA from 1 species
CCUACGGGUGGCUGCAGUGAGGAAUAUUGGUCAAUGGGCGCAAGCCUGAACCAGCCAUGCCGCGUGCAGGAUGAAGCAUCUAUGGUGUGUAAACUGCUUUUGUACGGGAAGAAACACCGGAACGCGUUCCGGCUUGACGGUACCGUAAGAAUAAGGAUCGGCUAACUCCGUGCCAGCAGCCGCGGUAAUACGGAGGAUCCAAGCGUUAUCCGGAAUCAUUGGGUUUAAAGGGUCCGUAGGCGGUUUUGUAAGUCAGUGGUGAAAUCUGGUCGCUC